rnacentral:rRNA from 1 species
AGCUCCAAUAGCGUAUAUUAAAGUUGCUGCAGUUAAAAAGCUCGUAGUUGCAUUUCCGAGGCAAGGGAUUAGUCCGACCUUUGGUGGGUAUUUAAUCCUCUUGCCUCGUCCUUGAGUGGUGCUUCUUGGUAUUAAGUUAUCGAGGAGAUAGCCGCUCAUCGUUUACUGUGAGAAAAUUAGAGUGUUCAAAGCAGGCUUAUGCCGUUGAAUAUAUUAGCAUGGAAUAAUAAGAUAGGACCUCGGUACUAUUUUGUUGGUUUGAGAACCAAGGUAAUGAUGAAUAGGGACAGUUGGGGGUAUGCGUAUUCAGUUGUCAGAGGUGAAAUUCUUAGAUUUACGGAAGACGAACUACUGCGAAAGCAUUUACCAAGGAUGGUUUCA